GCACUACUGAAUAGUCCCACAAUAGGACGAAACGGCCGCCCAGUAC
rnacentral:hammerhead_ribozyme from 1 species